UUUAAUUAGAGUGACUAAAUUGAGAAAAAAAUUUAGAGUGAACAAAAUAGAACAAACCCUAUUUUUGAGUGACCAUUGUUGUAGGCCAUUUUGCCCGGGGCCCAAAACCAAACAACAAGCCCCAACCCAAACUCAAACACCAAAAACCAAACAGCAAAACAGUCCAAAUAUUACAAACCCAAAUAGAACCCAACUAUAAGCCCAAAUUCACAGGCCCAAUUAUCUAAACCCUAAUGGCCCAAACCCAUAACAGAAAACAACAAACCCUAGGUGCGCUGCACCAAGGGUUUUCUAACUUUUGCGCCGCCGUCGUCACAUCAUCAGCGCAAGUGGCGCACCUGCCCUCUGCCACCGCCACUUGCUCUCUGCCACACCCCCAUCAAUUACCUGCAAAAACACGCAACAACAAAAGAACCAAGCAAAAAACAACCAAAAUAGGAACUAAAAUGAUGUUCAAAUCGGCUAUAAAAGCCAAGAUCUAAUGCUUGUAAAGGGUUCCUUUUUUUCGCGAACAUGAAAUAAAAAAAAUAACAUUUUCAAGGUGAUUGUUUUUAUUUCCGUUUUAGGUACUUAUUUUGGUUAUAUACUCCUAUUUUUUUUUAUCUAUUUUAUUUUUUAUAUAUACGAAAAUAACAAAAAAAAAAAGAAAGAAGAGGAAAAGACUUACCUAGGCGGGGCCGAAAAGCCCACUUUGUGCAACGCUGGCCGCUGGCCACUGGCCACCACGGCAGCGCGACGAAAGCCGAAAGGUCUUUAAAUUUUUUUUUCUUUUUUU
rnacentral:lncRNA from 1 species